AUAGAGGGUCCAAAUAACAGACCCUGCUCUUGGGAAAGUCUGCUGCUUCCCCUAGCCUAGGUUAAGGACAUCACUGGGAAACUUCCUGAUCUGGUAUGGCCCUUGGAGUAUUGCCGGUUGCUGCUUUUCCUUGUGGGUGGUGAUGAAACCACAAGGUACAGUCCAGAGUUAAUCUAAAGUGUCUUCAGAGUCUUGGCACAAUUGGGGAGGGAAUCUGGAACACAGGUCACAUUUUCCUUCCAGCCACAGGAAGCAACAUUGGAAGAAAUAGAUGGGCCCAGUGUGUUAAUACCUGACUGAGAUGUGCUGACAAUGCUGCAGCACACUGGAAGAUUUACAGAGAAGAGCCAGGUGUUCCUCAGAUGAUAGAACUCACCACGGAAACUACUGGUACAUUACUAGUCCAUAACAAAAAAGAGCGUUCUUUGAUCCUCCUUUGAUCCAGUGAAGAUUCUGGGAUGCCAUGAUGGCUGCUUGUAGUUCCACUAGUAUUUUGCUUUUUAACUCUUUGAAUGUGGACGCAUAAUUUUCAUCACCUAUACGACAACACUACAAUCGGAAGGCAAGCCUUCAGAAUAGGUCACAGAGGAGAAGGAAAACUUCCAUUAGAAGUCUCUGCUCUGGAAGACUUUCAGCCUAGUAAGUAAUGAGUAACAUUGCUGUUCCACUUCAGCAGGUUGUCAAAUUAAAUAUGUUUCUGUGAUGAUGCUUCUGGCAUAGCUGGC
rnacentral:lncRNA from 1 species